rnacentral:lncRNA from 1 species
ACACAACCAUUGGAGGAGCCAGGGAAGUGGCUGCUAGAAGAGAGAUUCACAGAGCUCAUCCUGAAACUGCGCUGGAUUUCAGCAAGCUCGGCAGGCACCCUCUGGGGCUGCCGGCAGCACCUAAGUGGGCAAUUCUCAAGAGGUCUUCCGUCUGCACCUCUGCCUGCCACUGCUGCCUGGAGAUAACAGCUUCACGUGCUGUCACGGACUGAAUUGUGUCCCCUCAACAUUCAAAUAUUGAAGCCCAGCCCUCCGUACCUCAGAAUGUGACUAUAUUUGGAGAUAAGGCCUUGAAGAGGUGAUUAAGAUGGAGUACAACAUCGAACAAGUGGGAGACCUGGCCUUUGCCUGCAGAGACAUGGAAGGGACCCCUGCUGCCAGACCCCAGGAGGAGCCAGACGGACCACGAGAUGGGUGCUUCUUUGUCCCGAGAGGUCACACAGGCACGUCCUGUGUCAAAUGUCCCCCUGCCCCUCUGUGGCCACCAGAGGUCGGUCACUGCACUUUAGUCUUUCGGUUAAAGGCACAACAUUCCGGCCAGUCUGCCCUGGGCUCUGCUCCCCUCGACCAUGGAGCAGAAAACAGAAGGUAGGAGAGGGAGAGGGAGGAAGGGAGAGAGAAAAGGGGAGGAGCCUAAGAAAGAAAGACGACACAAGAAAAAGCAAAAGGGGGGAGGAGUGUUCAAGUGUGAGUUUGCACCAAGUUGGAGAACAUGAAAUAGACUCGCCUUCCUGUGCUGCAGCCCCCACUUUUUUUAUAAUGCCCUGGUCGAUCCUUAAAACAGGGCCCAGAAAUCAUAGUUUCUGAGUCCGAGACUCAGAGAGCAGGAACGGGUCCAAGGCCCAGGAGGCAGGAGACCUGCUGGUCACCCCACAGCCCAUCUGAGCCCACACCCUAGCUUGAGGAAAGCCUGCUGAUCUUGUGCCCACCCAUCCCUUCCACCCGCCUGUGGCAGGCCACCUCAGGGGGGCCUGCCAAAUGACCAGAGCUCAGCCCACAGAGGGAGGGGUACAUGGAAACCCCGGAGAGUCUGGAGGCUGGAUGCAGGGAGGGAGGAGGUCCCCAUUGCCUGCUUCUUGCAGGAGACAAAGGGACACAAAACGUCAUCUCCUGUCCCCUGAUCCUGUUCCCCCCCAGCCUGAAGUUGCCUCCAAGCUCUGCUAUCUUUAAGGAAAGACAAGGCUGAAUGGAACAUCAGAAAAAUGUUGCAGGGGAGGAGGAACUGGAUUUUCUGAAAGCAAGUUCCUGUUCAAAGUUUCCAGCCACUUCUAUUUCUAGCAGCGGAGACAGUGAGUGUCCCUGAGAAAAACCGCCUGAGUGGUCCCUUUCAGGGAAGGAGAUGAAGGUCAAGUCAGCAACCGAUCCUCUGGGAGAGAGUGAGCCAGGACUGUUGGCCUCGGCAGACUGUCAUCGCCUCGCCCCCUACAUGGCCCGAUUGCUAAGGAGGGGUGGACAAAUUGCGUCAGGGCCAAGAAGCCUUGCGGAAGGACGGGAUCUGGACUCCUUCACAGAUUCAAAGCUAUUGCAGCGUCUCUGAAGCACUCGUGGUGCUGGCCGCCUGACUCCUUCAGGGGGAGGCUGGAUGCGAUCACAGACUGUGCAGAGACAUGCGAUCACAGACUGCAAUCGAGACAUGCGUGAAUUUCAUUACAGGGACUGUGACCCUGGGAGCCCAGACCCCAGAGGAGGUGACAGCCUCCACUUCAAGGGGCAAAGCAGAGCGCAAGGAGCAGCCCUGGGGAGUGAUGAGUCUCACGGAAGAAGGGAGAGGAGAGGAAUAGACUUGCCACGAUGAAAUGGGGCUCAGAAUUACAUCACAUAAAAUAUUAAAGGAGCUGCCCAUGUGGGACAUAUCAUAUGCUGUCAGUCAGAGGGCUUUACCAAUUGGAGCACGAUUUUUUCCUAAAACAGACAAAGCAGCAGGUCCAGGAGCUGGAGUGGCUGGCCAGGGUCACUGCCCAGUUGGUGCAGAGCUGGGUAUGCCCCGGGUCUCUUAACUCUUCGUGCCAGCUCUUCCCAACACCCUGUCUUCACUGCAGCCCUUCCACCUGCGCCUUCUCCUCGCCGGAAUCACACAGAGGAGGAGGUCUGAGAACAGGAAUCCGUGAAGUUCUUCCCCUGGGAGGGUAAACAAAUGGUUUUGUCAGAUUUAUAAUUCAGACCCAGUGUGUAAGGGAAAUCCUAAAGCGCCCCUUGCUGGAGAAACAGGGGAAUCUCUUCACAUAUGGGUUUCUGUCAAAAAGUUCAGCAACACCAAUAAUUUACACCUUGAUAUUUGCUGGAUUUCCUGGAGUUUGUGAUUGUCAUCACUUUCCAUGUUUGCUGGAAAAUUGAAAGUUCAGAUGCUACUUCCACCACUCAAAACUGAAAAUCUCUAGUUGGACUAUUCUGUCACAAUGUAGUUACGACCUACAAAUGCUUUUUAAUAUUUAGUAUGUGCCAAGCACUGUGCCAUCUCUAGGAAAGCAAGAUGACUAAAAACUGAAGAUACACAACACUUUGGUUUCAUUCAUGCCAACUAAACAAAUGCAUGUUUUAUCUCAGUUCUGGAAAGCAAUCUUUUAUAAAGAAAAUAAAAUGACC